rnacentral:lncRNA from 1 species
CAGCUAUACAAUAGGUGGUAUUAUACUAAAAUUCAUGUUUGUCUGAUGAGUAUAAACCUCACCUGUUCCUAGAUUUGCUUCUUUGUAAACUUUCAUAUUGUUAGCCUAUAUUCCUAUAGGAUUAUUUAUCUUUUUGUCAGUUUUGAAGACCUUUUUCCACAUUAGAUAUUAGGAUAUGUAUGGGUCAGUUGUAAAGAUACUUUAAUCUUUACAUUAUAUGUUAUUUCUUAGGUUUUCUUUCAAGUUGUCUAUUUCCUUUUUGUAAUAUAUUAAUGUUUAACCCUUUUAGAAUUGAAUUUUUAAUGUCAUUUAUGAAGGUUCAUAUUUUUUCCUUCCAGAUGGGUUGCCAGUUGUACAAGCACAGUUUGUUAAAAUAAUCCAGCAGUCAGUUUAGGGUCAAACAGCUCUGACACCUGCAUGUCCACCAGAAGCCAUCACAGAUUUGAACUGGCAAUCAGAAAGAGGAAGAGAGAUAACAGAAUAAACCUAGCAUUAGGUUUAUUAUUAGCUUUGUCCUAACAAGAAAAUAUCUUUACAGCAUGUUCAUCAGAAAGUCUUGCAAGUGCUCAAGCAAGCACAGCUUCCACUGCCCCAGCACUGCACAGAGCAGACAAGGUCAGAAUGGGUGUGGUUCACCUCAGCAGUGGGAGACUAACAUUCUCAUCCAGCACAUUCAUCAAGCAGGGCAUCUGCAUGGUGUGCCACCAUUAAAUGGGGCGCACUCACUUGUAACAGGGAUAACCACUUAAGCACAGGGAAGUUACUACCUUGGUUUCCCAAGACUUAUGACGCCUUAGUUAUAUAGGCAGUCAGUGUCUACAUGCCGGUUCACAGUUCAUCCCAUCCAGGUACAGGCCACAAAUGAGAGAUUUCCAGUAUUUUCUUCAAGGAAACUAGUAGAAAAACAAGUCUAAAGUCAUCUUUCCAGGGAUGGGUCAGUGGGAACGGCCUUUUAUUACUUUGAUACCAUACUUUUCCUAUUCAACUAAAACUCUGCUAUGUAAUUCUUUACCCAAAUAAUCUUUUCUUUAUUCUACUUUAACUGGCUUAUAUUUUGAUUUACACCGACUUAUUUAUAGUCUCUUGCUUCAUUCAUUUACUUUUCUAUUCCUAUACUAACAUUAAUGGAUAAUGUUAACAUUAGCCUUAUUGUAU